UAACGCGUAUGCAACCUACCUUCAACAGGGGGAUAGCCAGGGGAAACCCUGAUUAAUACCCCAUAAUAAUUCAAUUUCGCAUGUUAUUGAAUUUAAAACUCCGGUGGUUAUAGAUGAGCAUGCGUUCUAUUAGUUUGUUGGUGAGGUAAAAGCUCACCAAGACUACGAUAGAUAGGGGGCCUGAAAGGGUGAUCCCCCACACUGGUACUGAGACACGGACCAGACUCC
rnacentral:rRNA from 1 species